GGCCCGCUAGCUCAAUUGGCAGAGCAACUGACUCUUAAUCAGUAGGUUACAGGUUCGAUUCCUGUGCGGGUCA
rfam:Anaerolineaceae bacterium 4572_5.1 ex4572_5.1_scaffold_38265, whole genome shotgun sequence.